CCUCUCCUCCUCUCCUCCUCUCCUUCUCUCCAUACUUGCGAUCAAGGGUUCAGACAAGUUCCAGCCACCAAGUAUUGGUAGUUCCAUCACCGGCAAAUACUUCUCCUACUGUCUCCGGUGAGAAAUGCGCUUUGCAUCGUUGCCAUCUUAGGUCGCCGGCAUGAAAAUGUUUGUUUUUUUUUUCUCUUCUUUGUUUCUCUCUAUCUUGUUACUCUGUUACAAUUUCUCUGGAGAAUUCAACCACUGCGGCUGUGCCUCUUGCAUAGACCCUAUUUGUCCUCGAGGUUUUCCUUCACAUACCCUUUUGUAUCUCUUUGGCCCAGUGUUGGGAUUGGGGAGCCUAAUGGCGGGGCCGCCGGCCGCCCCCGACGAUGCUGUUGUUGUCGUUGGGAAUGGAGACAACAAACAAGUGAUUGCCGGUGAUGGAGACCACAAUGGUAACGGUGAUGAGUCUCUCUGGUCGGAACAAGGUAACUCCGAGGUAGCGAAAUUAGGGGUCGAAAGAAGGAGAUAAUUGACGACGAUGCGGUGAGCAGUCAAAGCGGCGGAUGUUCUUGUUGCCAUGACGGGGACUCUGGAGCUUGUAGCGUUGAUGAAUGUGGGAAGGAGGAGAAGGAAGAGCAGGCUGAGCAGCAGGAGAUCAAAUUUGAUAGGGCAUUCUUUCUCCAGGUUGCUCCGCCGGGUGUCCUUGGCUGGAACCAAGUUGUACGCUCAUAUAAUCGCGCAUGAAAAUGGAGUCUUUUCUCAUUUAUGUUCUGCAUUGCACAAAAUUUCAGCAUAGUGCAGCAGAGUUCCUUCAGAAGCCAUUAUCUGAAGACAAUUGAAGAACAUUUGGCAGCAUGUGGCUCACAAGGUGUGCCAUAACCACUGGAUCAUUUAAUUAUUGGUUUGGGUGUUUUGGAUCUUACUGAUUUGGAAGUUAAGGUUAAGGUGAAAUCGAUUUGGGAUCUACAA